UAUCAGCACCUAGCACAGGGUCUGGCACAGAGUACAUUGUCAGUAAAUAUUCAAUCAAUCACUACACCCUCCACUCCAACCCCAGCCAAGCUGAGGCCUCCAGCCCCAGACCCUGAGGCCUCUCAUAACUGUGAUUUCCUGCUCUUUCUGCCUGGAUACACCUUCCUGCUUAAGUAAUUCCUGCUCUUUGAUGAAGGAAGGAAUGAAUCAACGAAAGCAUGAACCAACGAACAAACUAUUAGGAUUUCAGUUAAUUUAUAUGGGAGUCAUGAGGCCUUCCACUGCAUUGGAAAGGCACUGAACGUGUGGCUGGAGAAGCAUUCACGGAGAAAAGGGCCUGGAGUGGGAGCGCUGCCUAUAACAAAGUGGAAUGAAUUUACAAGCAUCCCUGAAAAUGCUUUUGGGAAAUCCUAAAAAGUCUCUGGGAAGAUGAGGGCUACCAAGGAAGAAGAACAAACCAGCUCAGCAGCUGGUACGUCUGGAGAGCCAGGAGAGAAAGACUGAAACAUAUAUGCAAAAGGCAGCACAGAGGGGCAGAGCCAUGAGCCAAAGGACCACGACCCCUGCCACAGACUUGUGGCUUCUGGGCAUGGGCAAGCCCAGUCAGGACAAUACUUGGCCCAUGCCCAAUGGUGGUGUAGUUUCCAACAGUCUCUGGCAGAGGGGAUUUUCAGAAGAAGGUAAACAUAGACUCUGCUGGACUUGAGCUCAGGGGACCCCAAGAGGCCAGACCUGGCCUCAGCACUAGCCCAUUCUGAUGCUACAAUCUCUUGUUCUGAACUAAGUCUGAGUUGACAAUAAAACAUCUUCUUGACAAGACUAACAA